rnacentral:rRNA from 1 species
GAUGAACGCUGGCGGCGUGCCUAAUACAUGCAAGUCGAGCGAACGGACGAGAAGCUUGCUUCUCUGAUGUUAGCGGCGGACGGGUGAGUAACACGUGGAUAACCUACCUAUAAGACUGGGAUAACUUCGGGAAACCGGAGCUAAUACCGGAUAAUAUUUUGAACCGCAUGGUUCAAAAGUGAAAGACGGUCUUGCUGUCACUUAUAGAUGGAUCCGCGCUGCAUUAGCUAGUUGGUAAGGUAACGGCUUACCAAGGCAACGAUGCAUAGCCGACCUGAGAGGGUGAUCGGCCACACUGGAACUGAGACACGGUCCAGACUCCUACGGGAGGCAGCAGUAGGGAAUCUUCCGCAAUAGGCGAAAGCCUGACGGAGCAACGCCGCGUGAGUGAUGAAGGUCUUCGGAUCGUAAAACUCUGUUAUUAGGGAAGAACAUAUGUGUAAGUAACUGUGCACAUCUUGACGGACCUAUUCAGAAGCCAC